rfam:Macrostomum lignano unitig_12326, whole genome shotgun sequence.
UGACCUCGGAUCAGACGUGAUUACCCGCUGAAUUUAAGCAUAUUAUUAAGCGGAGGAAAAGAAACUAACAAGGAUUCCCUAGUAACGGCGAGUGAACGGGGAAGAGCCCAACACCGAAUCCCUUGGCGCAAGUCAACGGGAAAUGUGGUGUUAAGGUAGCCCUUCGUGUCAGUCUAGGCGUCUCAAGUCCACCUGAUUGUGGCUCAAGCCCAGAGAGGGUGUAAGGCCCGUAGAGACGCUCCGACUGAUUCCUGGGGUUUACCUACGAGUCGGCUUGUUUGGGAAUGCAGGCCAAAGCGGGUGGUAAACUCCAUCCAAGGCUAAAUACUGGCACGAGUCCGAUAGCGGACAAGUACCGUGAGGGAAAGUUGAAAAGAACUUUGAAGAGAGAGUUCAAUAGUACGUGAAACCGCUUAGAGGCAAACGGAUGGUGCUCAUACUGGCCUGAGGAAUUCAACUGUGACGGUGGCUGGACGAGCUGGCGUUCCGAUCUCUCUUUUGGGACGGGCGUCGGUUUGGCUAUCAGCUCCGACAUGGUGCACUUUCCUUGGUGCCUCCGCCACGACCGACGACACUGGCUACCGCGGCUGGGGUAAGGUGACAAACUGCUUCGGCAAUUUGUGUUAUAGACCCGGCGUCGGACAUGGUUUGGCCAGGACGUCGAGCUUGCGGCGCCCGCUCCUUGUGGGCUCGCAUGUUGGCUAGCUUGGCUGCGCCGAUGCUUGCACUGGACAACCAGUACAGGUGACGGUUGUGGUCUUGUCUCUAGUUGGCCUCUGCGAGUUUGGGCGCCUAGUCUGUGUGUGUACUUGUGGGUAGACUAUCCGACCCGUCUUGAAACACGGACCAAGGAGUCUAACAUGUGCGCGAGUCAUGGGGAUUCUACGAAAACCAAAGGCGCAGUGAAAGUAAAGGCCUGCUUCUCGUAGGCUGAGGUGGGAUCUCGUGCAUCGCGAUUGGCGAGCGCACCACCGGCCCGUCCUAUCUGUCUCUGUCAGUGGGGCGGCGCAAGAGCGUACACGUUGGGACCCGAAAGAUGGUGAACUAUGCUUGCGCAGCUCGAAGUCAGUGGAAACACUGAUGGAGGAGCGCAGCGUUUCUGACGUGCAAAUCGAUCGUCCAAACGUGAGUAUAGGGGCGAAAGACUAAUCGAACCAUCUAGUAGCUGGUUCCCUCCGAAGUUUCCCUCAGGAUAGCUGGCACUCGGGAAACAGUUUUAUCCGGUAAAGCGAAUGAUUAGAGGCAUUGGGGUCGAAAACGACCUCGACCUAUUCUCAAACUUUAAAUGGGUAAGAUGCUCGUCUCGCUUAAUUGGAGGCGGGCUUCACCUCUCUAUAAACUGUGAAUGUGAGUGCCCAGUGGGCCAUUUUUUGGUAAAGCAGAACUGGCGCUGUGGGAUGAACCAAACGCGCGGUUAAGGCGCCCAAUGCGGACGCUCAUGAGACACCACAAAAGGUGUUGGUCGAUACUGACAGCAGGACCGGUGGCCAUGGAAGUCGGAACCCGCUAAGGAGUGUGUAACAACUCACCUGCCGAAUCAACCAGCCCUGAAAAAUGGAUGGCGCUGGAGCGUCGGGCCUAUACCGUGCCGUUGGGGCGAAGCAGACAAAUAAUCUCUGUGUGGAUGUCCCAACGGAGUAGGAGGGUCGCCGGUGGUGAGCGCAGAAGGUGCGGCCGUGAGGCCGGCUGGAGCGCCACGGGCGCAGAUCUUGGUGGUAGUAGCUCAAUUACUCAAGUGAGAACUGGGACUGAGUGAGAGGAAUGGGAACCUUGUCCAGUUGUAAAGGGGUUCAACAAGUGAAGCAUGCGAACAUGGGUCAGGCGGUCCCCGAUCGGGUAACUCCGUACCUAGAACGAGGGUGACAACUAUCACUUGAUAAUAUUGUGAAGUGUUAUAGCCCUCCGGAGCGAAAGGGAAUCGUGUUUAAUAUUCACGACACCCUUACCGUGGAGAUCGCCCCUUUCGGGGGGCAAUAGUGGGGUUAACGCAAACGGACGAAACAGCAGAGACGUCCGCUGGAGCCCCGGGAAGAGUUCCUUUUCUUUUCUUUGUAAGGAGCGUACCCCCUGGAAUCGGCUUGUCCGGCGGAGAUAGGGGCGUGGCUUCCGUAAGCAGCGCGCGGGUCUUGGCGCUGUACCGUGGACUCUGAGUCGCCGCCUUGAAAAUCUGUGGUGCGGAUCAGUGUGAUUUUCACGGUAAGGCACGUGUACCCAGUUAAUUCCGCUAGGCAAGGUCUCCGCAGCAGGUUCCAAGGUGAGAACAGCCUCUAGUCCUAAGAAACAAUGUAGGUAAGGGAGUCGGCAAAAAUGGAUCCGUAACUUCGGGAAAAGGAUUGGCUGCUGUCGAGGGCUGGUCGGAUGGCUGGCGUAGAACGCUGUUCCGGUUUUGCGUGAGGACUGGGCGAGGCCUUUCUGGGCUUUUACUUCGGACCACUGCGCGGACACGUCCAGUAGACGAGUCAGCGACUGUCAGCUGUGCUUGUCGUGUUUUCGGCGCGGUCAAGCUUCGUCCGGCAACAAACAGCCAACUCAGAACUGGCACGGACUAGGGAAUCCGACUGUCUAAUUAAAAAGCAAAGCAUUGCGGAUGGCUGUUGCCGUGUUGAAACGUGUUUGACGCAAUGUGAUUUCUGCCCAGUGCUCUGAAUGUCAAAGUGAAGAAAUUCAAUCAAGCGCGGUAAACGGCGGGAGUAACUAAUGACUCUCUGAAGUAGCCAAAUGCCUCGUGCAUCAAUUAGUGACGCGCAUGAUGGAUUAACGAAAGAUUCCCACUGUCCUAUCGUACUAUCUAACGAAAACCACACCAGGGAACGGCUUGCAGAAUCAGCGGGGAAAGAAGACCGUGUUGAGCUUUGACUUCUAGUCCGACCUUUGUGAAAGAAGCAUGAGAGGUUGUAGUAUAGGUGGAGCGUCAGCGACUUUGAAAAUACCACUAUUUUAUCGUUUCUUUACUUAUUCAUCAGUGAAGCGGGGCGGCCUUCACGGGCCUCGUUCUGGUGUUAAACGGCUGGCCUCGCGGCCGGCCGUGACUUGCUGCUCUGAAGACAGUGUCAGGCGUGGAGUUUGACUGGGCGGUACAUCUGUCAAAAGGUAAACGCAGGGUGUCCCAAGAUGAGCUCAGUCAGGACAGAAACCUGGCGUAGAGCAAAAGGGCAAAAGCUCAUUGAUUUUGAUUUUCAGUACGAAUACAGACCGUGAAAGCGCGGCCUAUCGAUCCCUUUGAUUAAUCAGAGUUUUUGAUGGCAAGGGGUGUCAGAAAACGUUACCACAGGGGAUAACUGGCUUGUGGCGGCCAAGCGUUCAUAGCGACGUCGCUUUUUUGAUAUCCUUCGAUGUCGGCUCUUUCCUAUCAUUGUGAAGCAGAAUUCACCAAGCGUUGGAUUGUUCACCCACCAAUAGGGAACUGUGAGCUGGGUUUAGACCGUCGUGAAGACAGGGUUAUUUUACCCUUACUGAUGUCUUGUCGUUGCUAUGGUAAUCCUGCUUAGUAGUACGAGAGGAACCGCAGGGUUCAGACAUUUUGGUUUAUGUGCUUGGUCGAGAAAGACCAAUGGUGCGAAGCUACAUCUGAGAUUAAGACUGAAAAAGCCUCUUAAGUCUGAAUCCCGCCGCAGAAAUGCAACGAUACUAUCGUGCCCCUACGCCGGGAGGCAACGAUUAUACUCGGCCCGAAAUCCGAUUUCGGGCGGCCGAGACUGGCUAAAGCCACUGCGAUACUGGCCACCACCCGCUGUCUUGAAAUUUGGCAGUGGAGGCACAGACACGAUACCACUUGAUUGAGACGUAGGGGUUCUAUAUCGUUUGUAGACGACUUAGAUCUCGGUCGGGGUGCCGUACUUAGUUGAGCAGUUCUUCACUGCGAUCUAUUGAGGCUAAGCCUUUUGACGGGGAGAUAUGU